UACGUAGGUGGCAAGCGUUGUCCAGAUUUACUGGGCGUAAAGAGCGCGCAGGCGGUCGUUCAAGUCGCGUGUGAAAGCCCCCGGCUCAACUGGGGAGGGUCACGCGAUACUGGUCGACUCGAAGGCAGGAGAGGGUAGUGGAAUUCCCGGUGUAGUGGUGAAAUGCGUAGAUAUCGGGAGGAACACCAGUGGCGAAGGCGACUACCUGGCCUGUUUCUUGACGCUGAGGCGCGAAAGCUAGGGGAGCAAACGGG
rnacentral:rRNA from 1 species